rnacentral:rRNA from 1 species
AUACGGAGGGUGCAAGCGUUAUCCGGAAUCAUUGGGUUUAAAGGGUCCGUAGGCGGACUAUUAAGUCAGAGGUGAAAUCCCACAGCUCAACUGUGGAACUGCCUUUGAUACUGGUAGUCUUGAGUUAUAUGGAAGUAGAUAGAAUGUGUAGUGUAGCGGUGAAAUGCAUAGAUAUUACACAGAAUACCGAUUGCGAAGGCAGUCUACUACGUAUAUACUGACGCUGAGGGACGAAAGCGUGGGGAGCGAACAGGAUUAGAAACCCCAGUAGUCC